CCCUUGGACUAUCAUAUCAAACCAAAGUAGGUUUAUACCAAAAUGGGAUAGGUUGAACAGGGAA
rfam:[Clostridium] purinilyticum strain DSM 1384 CLPT_14c, whole genome shotgun sequence.